rnacentral:rRNA from 1 species
GGAAUUCGAUUAGAGUUUGAUCCUGGCUCAGGAUGAACGCUAGCGGGAGGCUUAACACAUGCAAGUCGAGGGGCAGCACGAUGUAGCAAUACGUUGGUGGCGACCGGCGCACGGGUGAGUAACGCGUAUGCAACCUACCCUGUACUGGAAGAUAACCCGGAGAAAUUCGGACUAAUAUUCCAUAAAGAUAUAGAGAGGCAUCUUUUUAUAUUUAAAGCUCUGGCGGUACGGGAUGGGCAUGCGUAACAUUAGCUAGUUGGCAGGGUAACGGCCUACCAAGGCAACGAUGUUUAGGGGUCCUGAGAGGGUGAUCCCCCACACUGGUACUGAGACACGGACCAGACUCCUACGGGAGGCAGCAGUGAGGAAUAUUGGUCAAUGGGCGCAAGCCUGAACCAGCCAUCCCGCGUGAAGGAAGAAGGCGCUAUGCGUUGUAAACUUCUUUUCCAGGGAAAUAAAAUUUUGUACGUGUACGAAAUUGAAGGUACCCUGGGAAUAAGCAUCGGCUAACUCCGUGCCAGCAGCCGCGGUAAUACGGAGGAUGCAAGCGUUAUCCGGAUU